AUGCUGCUGAUUGAAGGAAGAUGGGUCCAAAUGAAAUUCUACGAGGACUUCCUGGGGAAACUCAACGGGACUGCUGACAAUUUGCAGGCUCUUCUUGGGAUGCCAGAAAUGAGCAAAUCAGUCAUCUCGCGCAAUGCCUGUGCAGCUUCCCAGACAUCUUCCGGACGUGUUAUUGUCUUCCCAAUGUACACGCACGAGAGCAUUCUUCAAAGGACUGAAACAGCAAAGGUGGACCUGAAAUACCACCUGAAGACCAGACACGAGCAAGGCUGGUCAAGAGCUGGUGACAGAGGCAGGAAAGGUAAGGGACCCGUGGGCUGCCAGCAGGGGGCUCUUUUUUUUUUCUUUCCUCCUCAUCUGGAGACGAUUAGGGCUGACAUUACCACAGAGCACCUGGAAGAGCACGAGACACUCCCGAUGUCUCUCUGUACCCAUUAUGGGAAAGCCUGA
rnacentral:lncRNA from 1 species